UCACUAAGAACGAAACUUCCCUUUUCCUGAAGUUCUGCAAACUAAAUGUGAACAACUUCAUAUGAACUUCAGGGAAAUCACCACAACAGCUUUAUGGACAAUCUUUAUUCCUGUUGCUGCGUGGGCCACUCAGAAAGGUCACCAGAGACAUUCAAAUUGCAAACCAGAAAAAAAUCUGUCAGAUUGCCCCUCACUCCAUCUGAAGAUGCUUUGAGCCUGACAUAUGCCUGCCCUAAAAACUUAAAAACUGGGUUUAUAAUUUGCUCCAAUGAUUCAACUUUGUUCUUCUUUUGUUUCCAAAGAAAUGCCUCUUAUUAAGUACCUGAUUGCCUGCACCAUAUAGGCCUAACUUUGGGAUCCAACCUGCAUCACCACCUUCUGAAACGAGACUCAACUAUUUAACUGAAAUGACCUAUUCUCAGGACUAAGAGACUUAUUCAAUGAAAAUGAAAUAAUGGAGCAAUCUACCAACUCAGCUUCUGAAUUAUGGAAUUUUUUGGAAGUUUCAGAGGCGUUAUUGAAGGGGAGCAGAAUAUACCAUCCCUGAAGCACGAUUUUAGCAUAAGAAUUAUUUUGAGGGUUUAAAAAAAAGAAAACAAACAAAAAACCAAAACAGCAGACACAGGAAAAGCUCUGAAAACAUAAUGUAACAGGAAAUCAUUUCUGGCAGAAGAUUUGUCACAAAACAGACUUGUCAGCUUUUUCUAGCUGGCAUGUAAAGAAGGAACAAAUUUCCAUACAUAGCAUCUUCUGGGCUUCCCUGGUGGCACAGUGGUUGAGAAUCUGCCUGCCAAUGCAGGGGACACGGGUUCGAGCCCUGGUCUGGGAAGAUCCCAUAUGCCGCGGAGCAACUAGGCCCGUGAGCCACAAUUACUGAGCCUGCGCGUCUGGAGCCUGUGCUCCGCAACAAGAGAGGCCGCAAUAAUGAGAGGCCCGCGCACCGCGAUGAAGAGUGGCCCCCACUUGCCGCAACUAGAGAAAGCCCUCGCACAGAAAUGAAGACCCAACACAGCCAUAAAUAAUAAAUAAAUAAAUAAAAUUUAAAAAAAAAUAGCAUCUUCAGCAUAAUACGGAAAAAUUCAUGUGAUAUUCCUCUGCAUUGUAUUUCUUCAAAUAAAGUUGUUUAGUAUUUAGAUAUAAAAGUAAAAGACUCGGGGCUUCCCUGGUGGCGCAGUGGUUGAGAAUCUGCCUGCCAAUGCAGGGGACACGGGUUCGAGCCCUGGUCUGGGAAGAUCCCACAUGCCGCGGAGCAGCUGGGCCCGUGAGCCACAACUACUGAGCCUGCGCGUCUGGAGCCUGUGCUCCGCAGCAAGAGAGGCCGCGAUAGUGAGAGGCCUGCGCACCGCGAUGAAGAG